UACGGAGGGUGCAAGCGUUGUUCGGAAUUACUGGGCGUAAAGAGCGUGUAGGCGGUUUGGCAAGUCAGAUGUGAAAGCCCUGGGCUCAACCCAGGAAGUGCAUUUGAAACUGCCAUCCUAGAGUAUGGGAGAGGAGAGUGGAAUUCCCAGUGUAGAGGUGAAAUUCGUAGAUAUUGGGAGGAACACCCGUGGCGAAGGCGACUCUCUGGACCAAUACUGACGCUGAGACGCGAAAGCGUGGGGAGCAAACAGG
rnacentral:rRNA from 1 species